AUUUCUAAAUCGCUGAAGCAAACUAGACGCGGGGGACCCAUUUUAGACGGAGUGCAUAAGCAAUCCUUGGGGUGAAUCUCUUCUUUUGAAGGGUAGGGCUACUCAGGCCCGAAUCCGACAGCUAACCUCGUAAGCGUUAAGAGCAGAUAA
rnacentral:sRNA from 15 species